CAAGUCGAACGCGAAAGGGGCUUCGGCCCUGAGUAGAGUGGCGAACGGGUGAGUAACACGUGGGUGACCUACCUUCGAAUGGGGGAUAACGUCCCGAAAGGGACGCUAAUACCGCAUAACAUCCUGUCUUUGAAGAGAUGGAGAUCAAAGCUGGGGAUCGCAAGACCUGGCGUUUGAAGAGGGGCCCGCGUCCGAUUAGCUAGUUGGUGAGGUAACGGCUCACCAAGGCAACGAUCGGUAGCCGGCCUGAGAGGGCGGACGGCCACACUGGGACUGAGACACGGCCCAGACUCCUACGGGAGGCAGCAGUGGGGAAUUGUUCGCAAUGGGCGCAAGCCUGACGACGCAACGCCGCGUGGAGGAUGAAGGUCUUCGGAUUGUAAACUCCUGUUGCCCGGGACGAAAUGCUUCGACCUAACACGUCGAAGUUUGACGGUACCGGGUGAGGAAGCCCCGGCUAACUCUGUGCCAGCAGCCGCGGUAAUACAGAGGGGGCAAGCGUUGUUCGGAAUUACUGGGCGUAAAGGGCGCGUAGGCGGCCUUCUAAGUCGAACGUGAAAUCCCCGGGCUCAACCCGGGAACUGCGUCCGAUACUGGAAGGCUUGAAUCCGGGAGAGGGAUGCGGAAUUCCAGGUGUAGCGGUGAAAUGCNUANAUAUCUGGAGGAACACCGGUGGCGAAGGCGGCAUCCUGGACCGGCAUUGACGCUGAGGCGCGAAAGCCAGGGGAGCAAACGGGAUUAGAUACCCCGGUAGUCCUGGCCCUAAACGAUGAAUGCUUGGUGUGGCGGGUAUCGAUCCCUGCCGUGCCGAAGCUAACGCAUUAAGCAUUCCGCCUGGGGAGUACGGU
rnacentral:rRNA from 1 species